rnacentral:rRNA from 1 species
GACGAACGCUGGCGGCGUGCUUAACACAUGCAAGUCGAACGGAAAGGCCCUGCUUUUGUGGGGUGCUCGAGUGGCGAACGGGUGAGUAACACGUGAGUAACCUGCCCUUGACUUUGGGAUAACUUCAGGACACUGGGGCUAAUACCGGAUAGGAGCUCCUUCUGCAUGGUGGGGGUUGGAAAGUUUCGGCGGUUGGGGAUGGACUCGCGGCUUAUCAGCUUGUUGGUGGGGUAGUGGCUUACCAAGGCUUUGACGGGUAGCCGGCCUGAGAGGGUGACCGGCCACAUUGGGACUGAGAUACGGCCAAGACUCCUACGGGAGGCAGCAGUGGGGAAUAUUGCACAAUGGGCGGAAGCCUGAUGCAGCAACGCCGCGUGCGGGAUGACGGCCUUCGGGUUGUAAACCGCUUUCGCCUGUGACGAAGCGUGAGUGACGGUAAUGGGUAAAGAAGCACCGGCUAACUACGUG